ACUACUACGCCAUCAUUUAUUUACAUGACGCAUUGUCGCGCCAAAAAAAAAAAAAAAAAAAAAACCGUGUGAGAGGUUAUCUACGUGAACAUUAAGGAUGGACAAUAUAAACAUAAAAGUGGGGACUUAAAGAGAAAAGAGAAGGUGGAGAAGUUAGUCACGACACAACAAUUAUUUGCGGAGCACCAUGUCCCAAAACAGACUAUCGGGACUGGCAAUUCUUUCCAUCGAGAAUGCACGAAGCCUUGCAUUAAACACCACGUUCAUCGUGGAUGAAUUUGCCGAAAAGAAAGGCCCGAAGAAUGCUUCUAAAAUGAAUCUGGACAUUGCAAUGCAGGAAAACAUCUGUGUAGGAGCUGCCAACAAACUUGAACAUCUGUAUCCUGAACAGAGCUUCUGGUCCUUGACCGUUCUUCAUCACAGCUAGUGUCUGGUCAUUCCACAACACUGGACAACUGAUGUGAAGUAAAAUAAGCUGCAUGCUUCAUAGCUUUCUCCUGGUGGAGAAUCUCUUUGGGUUAAGGACAAGCACAGCUGUUCAACGGCAAUGUACACGGCAGCUGACAGUCGUCACGUGACUGUAGCUAGCUACAUACUCUGUUUUGUCAUCAGCUCCUUUAGCAACGGUUUCAACAGCAUGUCUCAACAACAGCCUUUCACACCACUGGUGAUAAUUAUGAUUGAAUGAACAUUUCAAUCCUGAGCAAAGGAAUAAUGAAGCUGUGAAAGAGGGCAUUUACACCGAGGACAAUAAAAGGGAGUUAAUAAACAAAAUGAGUUUUUAUAUCACUAAAAUUAA